rnacentral:rRNA from 1 species
ACUCAAAGGAAUUGACGGGGGCCCGCACAAGCGGCGGAGCAUGCGGCUUAAUUCGAUGCAACGCGAAGAACCUUACCUAGGCUUGACAGUUGGGGAAAUCUGGCAGAGAUGUCAGGUCCGCAAGGGCCCCAAAACAGGUGGUGCAUGGCUGUCGUCAGCUCGUGUCGUGAGAUGUUGGGUUAAGUCCCGCAACGAGCGCAACCCUCGUCGUAUGUUGCCAGCAAGUAAAGUUGGGGACUCAUACGAGACUGCCGGGGUCAACUCGGAGGAAGGUGGGGAUGACGUCAAGUCAUCAUGCCCCUUAUGUCUAGGGCUGCACGCAUGCUACAAUGGCUGGUACAAAGGGCUGCGAUACCGCAAGGUGGAGCGAAUCCCAUAAAGCCAGUCUCAGUUCGGAUUGGGGUCUGCAACUCGACCCCAUGAAGUCGGAGUCGCUAGUAAUCGCAGAUCAGCAACGCUGCGGUGAAUACGUUCCCGGGCCUUGUACACACCGCCCGU